GGUCCGCUGGCUCAAUGGCAGAGCGUCUGACUACGACUUCACAAAAGUUAUUAGGAGGUUCCAGGUUCGAACCCUGGGUGGAUCG